AUUUACACAGGGGAGGAGGGGGAGAGAAAAACAAAAGAAAAUAUAGCUGGAGAAGAGCCCACUCUCCGUACACAAAGAAUAUGAAACUUCUACAGCAAUUAGUUGGAAUGCAAAUUAAGAAUAGGGAAUGAAGACACAAGAGCAUUCUUAAAUAUCAUUGUAGAGUGUAAUACCUGUGAUUUAAAGGACAAUCUUACUUAUUCAUCGUAUGCAACAAAAGGUGUAAUGGAGAAUAUGAGCAGCCUCUGUUGAAAAUAAAAGAAAGGAAUACAGAGUACCUUCUGCAUUCACAGUCCACCUGAGGAUGACAUCUCAGAUUUAUAAGCAGUCAAAUUCAGCUCAGUCCACAUUAGCAAUCCAGCUCUAAUAUGGAAGCCCCAAGGCAGCUCUGCCCCUGCUCAUCUUCCAGUCCACAACUUGCUGGCAACGUGCUUGUAAUUUACCAUUGGCAAGAAUUUCCUCUCACCACCUUUUCUUACUGAAGAUAUAUGUAUAUUCUUCUAACCCAGACAAACAGAAAAGCUAGAUGGAGUAGAAAAGCAAUUCACAAAAUGAUACCAAUUCCUUGCAAAGCACCAUUUCACAUUCCACCGGGGAAUCUGUGCACUUCCAGGAGAUGCCUCCAGGUUAUAAUGCACUGUAUGAAUACACUGGUGAUUUUGUACAAACCAGACAAAAAGCAGAAUAACCACAGGCAACAUUUUGCUGGGCUAGCCUACGUGCCUGCAGCUGCCCUCCUCUGCUUUGUACCAGUGCUGUGAGAAAGCACCUGGGACCCAGUUUGCUCCUUCACUGCAAAGAACGCACUUGCAUUCAUGCCAUGCUUUGGGUCAGCCUGUGUGCCUUCCUCUUCUUUGUCUGGUGCUAGAAGAAUCAGAAAAGCAAUGGUACCAGCCACAAGGAAAGAUGCAGAGCAGGGUUUAGGCUGCCUUGGGGACAGCAGUGUGCACCCCCACCACAGCUUCAUGAUCCUCAGUAUAAUCCGUCUGAAUCUUCUUGCAUGCAUUGAGAGCAGUUGUGCACAUGCUAGCACCAAGUCCAGUGGAGGUACAGCGCCAGCACGGGGGGCAGCCAUGAUCCUCACCAGCUCAAAAGCAUGAGAGCCACUGGUGGCUGAGGCUGUCUGAGUACAACUUCAAGCCCAACCUGAACCAGGUCAUAUCCUGUGUUUCCUGUGCCCAUACCUGUUUCAU